ensembl:lncRNA
CAAACAUGCUCAGGCUCCAGGUGUCUUUGGUUUCAAAGAGUAAGAGUGAAGAGGGAGGAGUGCACUCCCAGAGCACAAGCUGUCCCUGUUCCAGCGCUGGUUGACACCCAUUGCAACCACCUACCCUGAGGUGCUGUAAUCCUCAUCAUAAGCCAGUUUCCUGAAAGUCAAAACCUGGAGAUCAUCUCAAAUCAAAGGCAAUCUUUAAAGGGACUCAGGAAGCAACACAGGCAUUUUUCAAAAAGAUGAUGACCUAGUUCUGGAAAUCACCUCCUUCGUUCAGUCAGAAGUUUACCAAGACGGCUGAGCACAUGCACGAUAUGAAGAUUGAUCCAUGGACUCAGCUUGAGACACGUGUCUUGCUUUAUGAAGCUUCCCUAGGAUGUCUGGGGUUGGAAGCUAGGCUAGCCCAGACUGUCACUGAGGAGAGCAGAGCUGGAGCUCUCAUUCUGAAAGGUCAGUCUGGAACGCCUAGAGCCUUAUUGAGGACAACAGCUGUAGCUGCAAAUCCACACAGCAAGGCAAAGCAACUGUACCAUGAUUAAGGAUCGGAACCCAAAGGAGUGAAGCAAGGCGGAUGAAGAAAAAGGAUAAGGAGAAAGAAUUGGCUGCUUAUCCUCUGCCUUCAAAUCUAUCAGCAGAACCCCCUCCACUCCCCUGCCCCACCCCCAACCCCCUCCACUGGCAGAAAGUAAAGGAAAACCAGCUGGAAUGGAAGCCCAGGGAGAGUGUUUGCAGACUUCAGCCCUCUGCAGUACACAGGGAAUCUUUUGGACAGUCAACAAAGAAGUCUUGGCAGGGAGAAGCAAGAUGGUUUCAGUGUUCAAGAUGGAGUUUUCAAACAAGAAUUAAAGCAGGAAUGUACUCAAAUUUUUGUCCUUUUGGUGCAUCAAAUAUGCAUUCAAGGCUGCCCUGGUGGCUCAGUGGUAAAGAAUCCGCCUGCCAAUGCAGGAGACAGGGGUUCCAUCCCCUGAUCCAGGAAGAUCCCACAUGCUGUGGAGCAACAAAGCCCGUGUGCUACAAGUGAGUCCACACUCUGGAGCCCAGGAACUGCAAAUACUGAGCCCACGUGCCGCAACCACUGAAGCCACAUGCCCUGGAGCCUGUGCUCUGCAAGAGAAGCCACUGCAAUGAGAAGCCCGAGCACCGCAACUAGAGAGCAGCCCCCGCUAGCCACAAGUAGAAAAAAGCCCAUGCAGCAACGAAGACCCAGCACAGCCCAAAAGAAAGAAUCAAAUAAAUAAAAUUAUAUAAAAUCA